UUCUUCAGUGUAACUGCAAGUACUGUACAGUCUGACUGAGUGACCUUCAUUAGGUCGGACAAGGAACAGAAAAUCAACUCUUCACACCCUCCAGACUGAAAAUAUUUUACAGACUUUCUUCAGACUCAACCAUCAAUUCAGCACAUACAUUCACUAUAAUUACAACUCUUGGUGUUGCAGGUCAUCAUGAGCGACAUCACCCUCAUGAGGAUCUCUGACAGCGAGAAAGAGAGAAUGCUCCGGGAAAGCCUGCAAAG